rnacentral:rRNA from 1 species
GAUGAACGCUGGCGGCGUGCCUAAUACAUGCAAGUCGAGCGAACAGACGAGGAGCUUGCUCCUCUGACGUUAGCGGCGGACGGGUGAGUAACACGUGGAUAACCUACCUAUAAGACUGGGACAACUUCGGGAAACCGGAGCUAAUACCGGAUAAUAUAUUGAACCGCAUGGUUCAAUAGUGAAAGACGGUUUUGCUGUCACUUAUAGAUGGAUCCGCGCCGCAUUAGCUAGUUGGUAAGGUAACGGCUUACCAAGGCAACGAUGCGUAGCCGACCUGAGAGAGUGAUCGGCCACACUGGAACUGAGACACGGUCCAGACGCCUACGGGAGGCAGCAGUAGGGAAUCUGCCGCAAUGGGCGGAAGCCUGACGGAGCGACGCCACGUGAGUGAUGAAGGUCUUCGGAUCGUAAAACUCUGUUAUUAGGGAAGAACAAAUGUGUAAGUAACUAUGCACGUCUUGACGGUACCUAAUCAGAAAGCCACGGCUAACUACGUG